rnacentral:rRNA from 1 species
AGAGUUUGAUCCUGGCUCAGAUUGAACGCUGGCGGCAGGCCUAACACAUGCAAGUCGAACGGUAACAGGAAGAAGCUUGCUUCUUUGCUGACGAGUGGCGGACGGGUGAGUAAUGUCUGGGAAACUGCCUGAUGGAGGGGGAUAACUACUGGAAACGGUAGCUAAUACCGCAUAACGUCGCAAGACCAAAAAGGGGGACCUUCGGGCCUCUUGCCAUCGGAUGUGCCCAGAUGGGAUUAGCUAGUAGGUGGGGUAACGGCUCACCUAGGCGACGAUCCCUAGCUGGUCUGAGAGGAUGACCAGCCACACUGGAACUGAGACACGGUCCAGACUCCUACGGGAGGCAGCAGUGGGGAAUAUUGCACAAUGGGCGCAAGCCUGAUGCAGCCAUGCCGCGUGUAUGAAGAAGGCCUUCGGGUUGUAAAGUACUUUCAGCGGGGAGGAAGGGAGUAAAGUUAAUACCUUUGCUCAUUGACGUUACCCGCAGAAGAAGCACCGGCUAACUCCGUGCCAGCAGCCGCGGUAAUACGGAGGGUGCAAGCGUUAAUCGGAAUUACUGGGCGUAAAGCGCACGCAGGCGGUUUGUUAAGUCAGAUGUGAAAUCCCCGGGCUCAACCUGGGAACUGCAUCUGAUACUGGCAAGCUUGAGUCUCGUAGAGGGGGGUAGAAUUCCAGGUGUAGCGGUGAAAUGCGUAGAGAUCUGGAGGAAUACCGGUGGCGAAGGCGGCCCCCUGGACGAAGACUGACGCUCAGGUGCGAAAGCGUGGGGAGCAAACAGGACUAGAUACCCUGGUAGUCCACGCCGUAAACGAUGUCGACUUGGAGGUUGUGCCCUUGAGGCGUGGCUUCCGGAGCUAACGCGUUAAGUCGACCGC